rnacentral:rRNA from 1 species
GACGAACGCUGGCGGCGUGCCUAAUACAUGCAAGUUGAGCGCUGAAGGUUGGUACUUGUACCGACUGGAUGAGCAGCGAACGGGUGAGUAACGCGUGGGGAAUCUGCCUUUGAGCGGGGGACAACAUUUGGAAACGAAUGCUAAUACCGCAUAAAAACUUUAAACACAAGUUUUAAGUUUGAAAGAUGCAAUUGCAUCACUCAAAGAUGAUCCCGCGUUGUAUUAGCUAGUUGGUGAGGUAAAGGCUCACCAAGGCGAUGAUACAUAGCCGACCUGAGAGGGUGAUCGGCCACAUUGGGACGGAGACACGGCCCAAACGCCUACGGGAGGCAGCAGUAGGGAAUCUUCGGCAAUGGACGAAAGUCUGACCGAGCAACGCCGCGUGAGUGAAGAAGGUUUUCGGAUCGUAAAACUCGGUUGGUAGAGAAGAACGUUGGUGAGAGUGGAAAGCUCAUCAAGUGACGGUAACUACACAGAAAGGGACGGCUAGCUACGUG